rnacentral:rRNA from 1 species
UGCAGUCGAGCGGUAGCACAAGAGAGCUUGCUCUCUGGGUGACGAGCGGCGGACGGGUGAGUAAUGUCUGGGAAACUGCCUGAUGGAGGGGGAUAACUACUGGAAACGGUAGCUAAUACCGCAUAACGUCGCAAGACCAAAGAGGGGGACCUUCGGGCCUCUUGCCAUCAGAUGUGCCCAGAUGGGAUUAGCUAGUAGGUGGGGUAAUGGCUCACCUAGGCGACGAUCCCUAGCUGGUCUGAGAGGAUGACCAGCCACACUGGAACUGAGACACGGUCCAGACUCCUACGGGAGGCAGCAGUGGGGAAUAUUGCACAAUGGGCGCAAGCCUGAUGCAGCCAUGCCGCGUGUGUGAAGAAGGCCUUCGGGUUGUAAAGCACUUUCAGCGAGGAGGAAGGUGGUGAACUUAAUACGUUCAUCAAUUGACGUUACUCGCAGAAGAAGCACCGGCUAACGGGGGGGGAGGG